GGGGUCUAUCCUGGGCUGGUUCCUCCUGCCAUCCAUCUCUUUGCACUACACAGAGGAGGCCUGCUAAGGCAGUACCCAGGAUGGGCUCCCACGUCAUUUUCUGAACACCAGCUUAGCCCAAGGAGCAAUGGCCACGGUCUGUGGCUGCCAGAGCUGUCUCACAAGAGGAAUAAUUAGUUUCUCUCUGCAACCCAGCUUUAUCCUUCCUUCAGCCCGUGCUGCUGCUGGAAGUGUAGCAGCAUUCCCUCCUCCACGCGGCUCUCUGGUCGCCUCCAUGCCGUGGCAGCGAGAAAAGGCCGAGAUCUAUCCUGCUUUGAAAGGACUGAUGAAUAUGCAAACUAUUAGGGCUGAAAUAUUGCUUAUCCGCGUCACGGGGUGUGCACGGAGCUCGUGUUUGUGCUGCUCCCCGAGGAUGUGUACACCACCAGUGUGCAGCUGAGCAGCUUAGGGAAGAUUUAACUCUUAUUUCUAUUCUUGACACUGAAUCAUUAAUAAGGUUAUGGCCAUGCUGGGGGCCUUUCCCAGCACCCUCCUCCUGCUGUGGCAGGGCCUGGGGACCUGCUGGUGGGGUUUGACUGCAGCUAUUGAUUGGGGUAAAGCUCCAUCCCAAAUGGAAGCAGUUGCUGAUGAUUAUCUCGUGGUAUUAGUGCAUGUAUUGUGAAAUUGGUGUGAUUUGAGAUGAAAUGUGACCUAUGGGCAUAGGCAAUGUGUUCUAAUGUAUUCAGAAAUGCUGGGGCUGACGAGCUGUUGCUGCUGGUACCACACUGAUUAAACCCCAGCUCGCUCUGCUCCCAUUGAAA